CACAUGAGUGGUGAGCGUUAUUCGUAGUUAUUGAGUGUAAAAGAUGCGCAGACGGUAAGUUCUUUUUUAAUUGACCAAGUUGGUAAACUAGUUCCAAUUAAAAUAAGUGCUUAUUUGAAGAAAGGUAAACAAUUAAAUUCUUACAUAUUAGCGAUAAAAUGCAGUGAGUUUGUAGGGAUAACCAAAGAUGAAAAUAUAGUUGUUAUUUUUCUUGACGUUCAGGCAUGAAAGCAGAAUAAUCGACGAGGAUUAGUGACCCUCUUAGUUUUUGCUGUAAAAGAUGAGUGUUAGAUUUCCUUUGAUAAAAGUGGAGUCUUAGCUAACGCGUUAAAUACUCUACUUGGGUAGUAUUAUUGCAAAGUUGAAACUUAACAGAAUUGGCGGGAAUUUGUAUAACAGUGGAAUAUGUGGUUUAAUGCGAUAAUCCACGCAUAAUCUUACUAACAUUGUAAAUUAUUAUACUUAUUUGUUGUGAUUUAAGUUGAUAAUAUAAUUUUAGCGGUCCUGCAUGGCUGUCGUCCAUUCGUGUUGUAAAAUGUAUAAUUAAGUUUUUAAACGAAUGCAACCCAAAGUUAUUGUUUAAAAAAAUAUUUUUAUGUUUAAAUAUUUUUUUUUCUAUAACAUAUACUUAGUAAUUUUUUUUUUUAAAAUUACUUAUGUUUUAUGGGGAAUUUGGCUGACGGCAAGUCUUUAUGGGCUACUUAUGUUAGGCUACACACGUAUUACAAAGGUGGAGACAAGAAGUAUUUAGGUGCAAACUUUAAUAAAUCUUUAAAAACUACCUCAGUUCAGAUUAUUUUCUGUAAUUCGAAAGUAUGAAGACGAAAUUGUUAGUAAUCAUAAAAUAGUAUGUUAUGGUGAAUUAAAAUGCAAAUUUUGCACACACCGCCCAUCACGCUCGAAAAGUUUUUCAGAUGUUAAGGGACACCACCAUCUAUUUGAUCUAUUGAUUUAAAAAGUUAUUAAUGUAAUAAAUAAAUCAAUUAAAAAUAAUCAAAUGUAUAAUUCCGAAAAGUUUGUUAAGUAAUUUGAGUGAAG
rnacentral:rRNA from 1 species